rnacentral:rRNA from 1 species
GACGGAGGAUGCAAGUGUUAUCCGGAAUGAUUGGGCGUAAAGCGUCCGUAGGUGGUUUUGUAAGUCCGUGGUUAAAGCGUGGGGCUCAACCCCAUAAGGGCCAUGGAAACUACAUAACUCGAGUAAAGUAGGGGUAGAGGGAAUUCCCAGUGUAGCGGUGAAAUGCGUAGAGAUUGGGAAGAACACCGGUGGCGAAAGCGCUCUACUGGACUUAAACUGACACUGAGGGACGAAAGCUAGGGGAGCGAAAGGG